AGUGAACGCUGGCGGUAGGCCUAACACAUGCAAGUCGAACGGCAGCACAGUAAGAGCUUGCUCUUACGGGUGGCGAGUGGCGGACGGGUGAGGAAUACAUCGGAAUCUACUUUUUCGUGGGGGAUAACGUAGGGAAACUUACGCUAAUACCGCAUACGACCUACGGGGGAAAGCAGGGGAUCUUCGGACCUUGCGCGAUUGAAUGAGCCGAUGUCGGAUUAGCUAGUUGGCGGGGUAAAGGCCCACCAAGGCGACGAUCCGUAGCUGGUCUGAGAGGAUGAUCAGCCACACUGGAACUGAGACACGGUCCAGACUCCUACGGGAGGCAGCAGUGGGGAAUAUUGGACAAUGGGCGCAGGCCUGAUCCAGCCAUACCGCGUGGGUGAAGAAGGCCUUCGGGUUGUAAAGCCCUUUUGUUGGGAAAGAAAAGCAGCAGGUUAAUACCCCGCUGUUCUGACGGUACCCAAAGAAUAAGCACCGGCUAACUUCGUG
rnacentral:rRNA from 1 species